rnacentral:SRP_RNA from 1 species
GCCGGGCACAGUGGGACGUGCCUGUAGUCCCAGCUACUCAGGAGGCUGUGGUGGGAGGAUCGCCUGAACCCAGGAGUUCUGGGCUGAUGUGCACUAUGCCGAUCAGGUGUCUGCACUAAGUUCAUCAUCGAUAUGGUGACCUCCUGGGAGCAGGGGACCACUAGGUUGCCUAAGGAGGGGUGAACUGGCCCAGGUCAGAAAUGGAGCAGGUCAAAACUCCCGUGCUGAUCAGUAGUGGGAUCGUGCCUGUGAAUAGCCACUGCACUCCAGCCUGGGCAACAUAGCAAGACCCCGUCUCA